GACGAACGCUGGCGGCGUGCUUAACACAUGCAAGUCGAACGGAAAGGCCCUGCUUUUGUGGGGUGCUCGAGUGGCGAACGGGUGAGUAACACGUGAGUAACCUGCCCUUGACUUUGGGAUAACUUCAGGAAACUGGGGCUAAUACCGGAUAGGAGCUCCUGCUGCAUGGUGGGGGUUGGAAAGUUUCGGCGGUUGGGGAUGGACGCGCGGCUUAUCAGCUUGUUGGUGGGGUAGUGGCUUACCAAGGCUUUGACGGGUAGCCGGCCUGGGAGGGUGACCGGCCACAUUGGGACUGGGGUACGGGCCAGAGUGCUACGGGAGGCAGCAGUGGGGAAUGUUGCCCAAUGGGCGGAAGCCUGAUGCAGCAACGCCGCGUGCGGGAUGACGGCCUUCGGGUUGUAAACCGCUUUCGCCUGUGACGAAGCGUGAGUGACGGUAAUGGGUAAAGAAGCACCGGCUAACUACGUG
rnacentral:rRNA from 1 species